UACGGAGGGUGCAAGCGUUAUCCGGAUUCACUGGGUUUAAAGGGUGCGUAGGUGGGUUGGUAAGUCAGUGGUGAAAUCCCCGAGCUUAACUUGGGAACUGCCAUUGAUACUACCAGUCUUGAAUACCGUGGAGGUCAGCGGAAUAUGUCAUGUAGUGGUGAAAUGCUUAGAUAUGACAUAGAACACCAAUUGCGAAGGCAGCUGACUACACGAAUAUUGACACUGAGGCACGAAAGCGUGGGGAUCAAACAGG
rnacentral:rRNA from 1 species